UACAGAGGAUGCAAGCGUUAUCCGGAAUGAUUGGGCGUAAAGCGUCCGCAGGUGGCUGUGUAAGUCUGCUGUUAAAUAGUGAGGCUCAACCUCAUAAAGGCAGUGGAAACUACACGGCUAGAGUGCGUUCGGGGCAGAGGGAAUUCCUGGUGUAGCGGUGAAAUGCGUAGAGAUCAGGAAGAACACCGGUGGCGAAAGCGAUCUGCUAGGCCGCAACUGACACUGAGGGACGAAAGCUAGGGGAGCGAAUGGG
rnacentral:rRNA from 1 species